rnacentral:lncRNA from 1 species
GCCGUUCCUACAUUACACACAAGAGCGACCGAGGCAAGAGCACAAAAAAAAGAGAGGACAAAUCGCGCGUGGGCUCGCGCCCGUUUUUGUGCUCUGGCCUCGGUCGCUGGCGGCGGCGGUCCGCGUCAACUCUUGCCCAAGGAUCUUUUGCCGCCGCCGCGUCUAUCAUUGUCCUCGUCGCCAUCGCUGUCGCUGUCUGUGCCAUCGUGAUCUCCGUCGCCGCCGUCGCCCGCCUUGCAGUAGCCCUCGCAGCCGCCGCCCUCGUCGAUGAGAUCGCGCAAAAAGUCGCGACCGACACCGCGCGGCAGUUGUUGCACGAGGUCGUGGGCACACGCGUCGGCGUGCUCCCACAGGGCCUCGAACGUCUCGCUCCGGUGGCGCUCGUCGGCGCAGCACAAGAGGGCCUCGCGCACGGCGUCGGCCUCGCACAUGUCCAGCAGCGACUCGAUGGUCGCCACCUUGUCGCCCAUGGCGGCGCGGCACAGCGCGCCGGCGGUCCAGUCGGUCCAGACGCGAUGGGGCACGAUGCCGUCGCAUGCGUCGAG